rnacentral:misc_RNA from 1 species
AAGGAUAUAUUCGGAAUAUCUUCGUAGAAGAUGAGGAAUAACGUGACAUAUUGUAUUCAGUUUUGAAUGUUUAUUAUCAUUCAAGUGAAAAUAAUUUCAAAAUUAGGCUAAUGAAAACGACAACGUUACAAAUGCUUGACUUGAAAUUAGACAUUGUACAUUGAAAACUAGAUAAGUAAGUAAAGAUUUUACCAAGCAAAACCGAGUGAAUAGAGUUUUAAAUAAGCUUGAAUUCAUAAAUAAUCGCUAGUGUUCGAAAGAACACUCACAAGAUUAAUAACGUGUUUUUGUUUUAAACUUUAAAAGAAAUCGUUUUUCAGGUAACGAAUGGAAACGAAGCCAUAUGAAAGCGAUUGACUUAAAGUUGAGCGAAAACAGA